UGGCCUGCUUUGGCACUAGCACAUUUUUGCUUUUGUUCAUCUACUUUGAGCAAUUAUGUGUAGUGCCAAUAUAGGACA
rnacentral:pre_miRNA from 1 species